CGUGGUCUCCAACAGUUUGUCACAGACGGACCCAGUGAAGCUAGUUCUGAGGAAAGCUCUAGAAACUUGUGUUGCUUAGGUAUUUUAUCUCAUAUAAUGCCUUGUCAGACAUUCAUGAGACUCUUAGGGGUCACUGUACGUCCAUGUGUCCAUGUGUCUUGUCCAAUUCAGCAAGUAGAUGGCGUCUUCCCAUAACACAGGCUCCUCAUCCCUCCUGAAGACAGCUGAGUCACAUCUCCACGCUCGCUCACUGAGGACACUUGCGAGGCUGUAUUUCGCGCUCAAACACAAUGCUGACGAUCACUCUGAAGACCCUCCAGCAGCAGACGUUCAAAGUGCAGAUAGACGAGGAGCUGACGGUAAAGGCUCUUAAAGAGAAGAUAGAGGAA